AGCAUAGCCAAACCCUGUCUGCACAAAAAUGUAAAAUAAAAUUAGUCAGGUAUGGUGGAGGAUGAGUCCUAGCUACUUAGGAGGCUGAGGUGUGUGGAUCACUUGAGCCAGGAGUUCAAGGCUGCAGUGAGUCAUGACAGGACAGAGGGAGAUCUGUCUACUGUCUGUCCCUAUAGAAAAAGAAAAAAUCUCCUGGUGUCUUUUCCUGAAUUUGGUAGACAGGAUGCCAGAGGAAAUGCAUCAAUGCGGAGGGACAGAAACAGCAGUGUGGCCUGGGAAAGGUUUUAAAGUUAGCUGGCUGGGUGCAGUGGCUCAUGCCUGUAAUCCCAGUGCUUUGGGAGUCCAAGGCGGGCAGAUCACCUGAUGUCAGGGGUUCGAGACCAGCCUGAGCAACAUGGACAAACCCCGUCUCUACUAAAAAUAAAGAAAAAAUUAGCCUGGUGUGGUGGUGCAUGCCUGUAAUCCCAGCUACUCAGGAGGCUGAGAUGCAGGAGUCAGAGCUGCCACAGACAGCGAGUUACAGCACUUUGCAGGGGACAGCUCAUGGACCCAGGACUAGAGCCCAGAAUGACAAGGGUUCUGGAAGGUAACAUGGAAAAUGGCGGUGGGGUGGGCAGCAUGCCUGCCCCUGAGUCAUUCCCAGGCCUAGGUGUGUGUCUACAGGAUGGACUGUCAGGGGAGGAUAGGGUGCAUUGUAAGGUUGGGGGAGGAGGCAGGACCUCAGGGCAAACUCCUCUGACCUACAAGGCCCAGGC
rnacentral:lncRNA from 1 species